rnacentral:rRNA from 1 species
UAGGGAAUUUUCCGCAAUGGGCGAAAGCCUGACGGAGCAACGCCGCGUGAGUGAUGAAGGUCUUCGGAUCGUAAAACUCUGUUAUUAGGGAAGAACAAAUGUGUAAGUAACUAUGCACGUCUUGACGGUACCUAAUCAGAAAGCCACGGCUAACUACGUGCCAGCAGCCGCGGUAAUACGUAGGUGGCAAGCGUUAUCCGGAAUUAUUGGGCGUAAAGCGCGCGUAGGCGGGUUUUUAAGUCUGAUGUGAAAGCCCACGGCUCAACCGUGGAGGGUCAUUGGAAACUGGAAAGCUUGAGUGCAGAAGAGGAAAGUGGAAUUCCAUGUGUAGCGGUGAAAUGCGCAGAGAUAUGGAGGAACACCAGUGGCGAAGGCGACUUUAUGGUCUGUAACUGACGCUGAUGUGCGAAAGCGUGGGGAUCAAACAGG